rnacentral:rRNA from 1 species
GUAGGUGGCAAGCGUUGUCCGGAAUUAUCGGGCGUAAAGCGCGCGCAGGCGGUCCUCUAAGUCUGAUGUGAAAGCCCACGGCUCAACCGUGGAGGGUCAUUGGAAACUGGGGGACUUGAGUACAGAAGAGGAAAGCGGAAUUCCAAGUGUAGCGGUGAAAUGCGUAGAGAUUUGGAGGAACACCAGUGGCGAAGGCGGCUUUUCUGGUCUGUAACUGACGCUGAGGCGCGAAAGCGUGGGGAGCAAACAGGGAUUAGAUACCCUGGUAGUCCACGCCGUAAACGAUGAGUGCUAAGUGUUAGGGGGGUUUCCGCCCCCUUAGUGCUGCAGCUAACGCAUUAAGCACUCCGCCUGGGGAGUACGGCCGCAAGGCUG